UAGAUGAAGAUCUAAAAGUGUGAUUUAAAAGGAGAGAUUUAAAAUUAGGGAGCUGAAAAUCAUAUAAAUUGUUAUUAUAAGAUCAUAUCAAAUAUUAUUACUGCAAUGACACCAAUAAAUACUGUAGAUUUCCACAGUCACUGGGAAGCAAAAGAAUCAAAGGGUACUCUGAUGUAAAUCAAUGUCAAGCAAUAGUACUCAACAAUUUAGACACAUUUAAGGGUUCACAGCUGCUGCCUGUUAGGUCACAAUACAGGUUAAAACACUUAUGGUUUGUGACCUACUGUCUUGAUAAUACUGUUAGAAUUUCAGAGGCUCUGGAGGAUACAGUUCGCAAUCUGAGAACAACAUAACUAAUGCGAAUGUGUUUUAUCCAGCUGUAGUCCCUUCAGAAAUUAUCACAACAGAAUAGGAAGUUUUCAAGGAGUCUACAUGUUAGGAAUUCAUGACUGUGAACGAAUUCCUUUCCUUCACAUUUUCCCAUCUUCAGAAUGGGAGUAAUAGUUGAUCUCAGAGUGAUUCAACAAACCUCUGAAAAUGGAACUACUGACCCCAGUAGGCAUGUCAUAUAUUUAAGUUACACCACCAUCCUGAGUACAUUUAUUCAUCAACUACCCCAUUUUCUAUGAUUAUUAAGAAAUUUAUGUCUCAAAUAAACUGAAAAAUCUUUUGAUCUAACAUAGAUCAGAAGCUUAACUCCUAAUUAAAGAUGAUCGACAGCUUCAUCAAUUUUGAAUGAUUGCUGGUAUUGAGAUUUUCGUGAUGUUGACCAUCUUACUUUGAGAAAUUAAAGGUACUACACAAUGUUUUCAAUCAGAAACAAAAUUGCAUCUUCUGCAGUCAAUUGGAAAAAAUGUCAUUUAACCAUCGCAGCUCAACCAGGUUCAAGAAUGCUAUGGAGGUUUCUAACAAACAACUACUCCUUCAAAAACUAAUCUUUGUAUAACAUGACUUCAGUUCUCUUUAUGUGUUUAGUGAUUCUCCUUUGAAUGUGCUCCAGCUUAGUUCAUUUUUGAAGUGUAUGGUUUAGAUGUGGUUUGAUAUAGAGGCAUACUAGAAUGGAAUUAUUAUUUCCCUUGAUCUGGACAAAAUAUUCUAUUAAUGCAGCCAAGAAUUACAUUAGCUCUUUUGGCAAUCACAGUUCAGUACUGAUUUAUAUCAAGCUCCCUGUCAAUUAAUCCUUCGGGACUUUUUUAUUUAUGCUCUUUCUAGGCAAUGCCUCUGAAUCUAUAUUAGUUUAGUUGCUGUUUGGAAUAAAGGAUAGGAUUUUAUAUUUUCCCCUAAUUAAAUCCAUCUUGCAGGUCCAUCUUUCCAUCCGCUGGGAUUGUGUUGGAUGCUGACUGCAUCACCUUUUAAAAAUUAAUAGUUCCAAAGAGGAGCUCAAACCAGAUAGCUGGGUGUUUUGCAAAAACCAUUUGUCCUAGGGUUCUAUUGCUGGAAUAAGAAUCAUGACCUUUAAAAAGUUAC